rnacentral:pre_miRNA from 1 species
CCGGGUUGAGGUAGUAGGUUGUAUGGUUUAGAGUUACACCCUGGGAGUUAACUGUACAACCUUCUAGCUUUCCUUG